ACACCACAACAGCCGGAAAUGACACCACAACACGGAAAUGACACCACAACAGCCGGAAAUGACACCACAACAGCCGGAAAUGACACCACAACAUCCAAGGAGGGCAUUACAACAGUUUCUUCUACAGAAAACCCAGCACCAGUGAACUCCUCUUAAUCAAUAGUUAGCAAAUCAUCAGUAAAUCCAUCUAAACCAUAACUUCGAAACCAGUUACUCCAUCUUAGUCAAUAACUGCAAACCACCAGCUGCUUCACCUGAAGAACUUUACCUAAAUCAUUUUGAAAUUAUCUUCGAUAUCAUCAGUCUUUGAAAAGAAAACUUACUUCUCGAGCCUCCUCUAAUAACGUUCACCCAAAGUUUUAUCUCAUCUGAAAUAAACAAGUUUAUAUAAUCUACAACUGAAGAAUAAUUACGGAACUUGAAAAAUAGGAUUCUUCACCAUAAAAUUAAAUAAAUUAGUUUUAAAAUGAUCAUCUAAACCAACAUCAUUCCUCAAUGCAUUGUAACUUGCAUUAUUGCAACAGUUUUAAAUUAUUGAAAAAUCGUGGUAAUUAAAAUUUUAAUUAAAUUAAUAAUUAGAAUAAUGUAAAUAGUAUGCUUUAUAUUGAUUAAGAUAUAAGCUAUUUUCUUUUUCUUUAUUCUACACUUUUCUACAAAAAUUAAUCUAAUUUUGAUUCCAUGUUAUUUGCUCUAACCUAGCAUCAAUGUAAAAGACAUAAUUACUACAGUACUGUAUUAUAAAUUUCAAUGUAUCUUUUGUUUUUUGUUUUUUUUUCGUAAAUUUUAACAAAGGAACUUGUUCGAAUAUUUAACAUAUGGAAUUGUAUUUUCAUAUAUUUCAUUUAAAAUAUAAAUUUUGGAGAGAGAAUAGAAAUUUAGAAAUUACGAAUAUAAUUCCUACAUUAUUACAAGAUUAUUAAAUUAAGCAUUUUCGGACAUAAUAUUGUAUAAUAUGUGACGGAAAAAUUUUAAUAACAGUUAAUUUCUUUUUAUAUAAAUCUAAGGUUGAUACAUUAAUUUGAAAUUUCUGAAAUCGUUAAAAGUAUAGUGCUGUAUAUUAAUAUAGAAAACUAAUGUUGAUAAUACUUGUUUCCAGAAUAAAUUUUAUUAUCAUAAUAAUCAAGUAUUUCGUUUUAAUAAAGUUUCAUUUUCUUCAAUAA